UCUCCCCUUUUAGGAGCAGUCUCGCUAGACAGAAUAACUAACGACGAGGGUUGCGCUCGUUGCGGGACUUAACCCAACACCUCACGGCACGAGCUGACAACAGCCAUGCAACAUCUGUGCGUCUGCCCCGAAGGGAGACCCGCUUUCGCGGGCUGUCAGACGCAUGUCAAGUCCAGGUAAGGUUCUUCGCUUAUCAUCGUAUUAAACCACACGCUCCGCUGCUUGUGCGGGGACCCGUCAAUUCCUUUGAGUUUUAGCCUUGCGGCCGUACUCCCCAGGCGGGAUACUUAUCGCGUUAGCUUCGGCACAGGAGGGGUCGAUACCCCCUAUACCUAGUAUCCAUCGUUUAGGGCGUGGACUAC
rnacentral:misc_RNA from 1 species